rnacentral:rRNA from 1 species
GAUGAACGCUGGCGGCGUGCUUAACACAUGCAAGUCGAACGGAAAGGCCAGUGCUUGCACUGGUGCUCGAGUGGCGAACGGGUGAGUAACACGUGGGUGAUCUGCCCUGCACUUUGGGAUAAGCCUGGGAAACUGGGUCUAAUACCAGAUAGGACCAUGCUUUGGAUGGUGUGGUGGAAAGUUUUUUCGGUGUGGGAUGAGCUUGCGGCCUAUCAGCUUGUUGGUGGGGUAAUGGCCUACCAAGGCGUCGACGGGUAGCCGGCCUGAGAGGGUGUACGGCAACAGUGGGACUGAGAUACGGCCCAGACUCCUACGGGAGGCAGCAGUGGGGAAUAUUGCACAAUGGGCGCAAGCCUGAUGCAGCGACGCCGCGUGGGGGAUGACGGCCUUCGGGUUGUAAACUCCUUUCGCAACUGACGAAGCUUUUUGUGACGGUAGGUUGAGAAGAAGCACCGGCUAACUACGUG